GACGAACGCUGGCGGCGUGCUUAACACAUGCAAGUCGAACGGUUCAAGAGGCAACCAACUGAUAGUUUACUAUUAAGUAGUCGCCUUAAGGAUAGUGGCGGACGGGUGAGUAACACGUGGAUAACCUGCCCAUAAGAGGGGGAUAACAUCCGGAAACGGGUGCUAAUACCGCAUAGGUUUCUUGAUCGCAUGAUCGAGAAAGGAAGACGGCCUUUGUGCUGUCGCUUAUGGAUGGACCCCGCGGCGUAUUAGUUAGUUGGUGAGGUAACGGCUCACCAAGACGAUGAUACGUAG
rnacentral:rRNA from 1 species